UUUAAUUCGAUGCAACCCGAAGAACCUUACCUACCCUUGACAUCCUUGGAAGGAUGCAGAGAUGCAUUUGUGCCGAAAGGAACCAAGAGACAGGUGCUGCAUGGCUGUCGUCAGCUCGUGUCGUGAGAUGUUGGGUUAAGUCCCGUAACGAGCGCAACCCUUAUCCUUUGUUGCCAUCAGGUAAUGCUGGGAACUUAAGGGAGACUGCCGGUGAUAAACCGGAGGAGGGUGGGGACGACGUCAAGUCAUCAUGGCCUUUAUGGGUAGGGCUACACACGUGCUACAAUGGGACAUACAGAGGGAAGCCAACCCGCGAGGGGGAGCCAAUCCUUUAAAAUGUCUCGUAGUCCGGAUUGGAGUCUGCAACUCGACUCCAUGAAGUUGGAAUCGCUAGUAAUCGCGAAUCAGCAAGUCG
rnacentral:rRNA from 1 species